GAGAGCUCUGACACAGCCCUGCUGUCGGCACGGCCGGGGAGCGUGCGCUCGCUGAUGCCUCCCGAGAUCCCAGCCCGCUCCAAAAAAAGGGGAAAACGGCCAAUUUUUAUUUCCUCAGGGAACAAUGAGAAAAUUUCUCUUUCUGAGCCUAUCUCCUUCUGAAACGAGCUCCAGGAGUGGUCACAACCUGCCAUAAAAACGCCAUGUGCAAGAGAAUAUAUUUAAUAUCAGGCAAGCAGAAUGGAACGAUACGAUCUGUUUGGGGUUUGAAGCUGAAAAUAAAUCUCAAGAAAUCUCUUUGAAAACUGAAGAUGACUCUCCAAAAUCCUCUUCCAAAGCUGAAGAUCAGCUCCAGCUCCAUCUCCAACCACCUGAGUGAUGGGCUGGUGUCGGAAGUGCCUGGAAAACCUCUUCCCACAGCCAAGCAGACACCUGUCUUUGCAAACCAAGACAUCCUGGUGGACGCCAGAGCAAAGGGAGAAUCAUCCAGCAGUCCAAAAUUGGAGAAUCAUCCAGGGAGCACUGCUGGAAUGAAGGUUUCCCAGGAUGAGAUCAUCAGGGCUCUUUGGGAACGCCUCGUCGUGCCCACAGUUCUGUGGCAAGAAAAAGAAAAAUCAUCAUUCUUCAAGGAAAAGUGCUAAAAGAUUUUUACCAAUUGGCUGCUGACAAACCAGUGGAACAUCUGAGUAUUUGUCUCUUGGUUUUGCAGCUCUAUCAAGACCAGCAAAACCACAGCAAGGGUUGGACUUGCUUUGCCCCGCUGCCUUUUGAGCCAUUUGGU